CUGGAUUUACAAUAAUUGUUAAAAUAAUGUUAAAAAAAAAAAUCUUGUAUAUUUCAACAAUGAACAAUUAUUUUUAGAUGAGAUGGUUGUUUCAAUGAAAUUGUCGGAAAUUGUUAAAUUUAAUGAUAUCAAAGGAAAUGUGUGUACUGAAAAAUACCAGAUGGAACCAAUACCUUUAUCAUGAAACUCAAUGAUUAUCUUACAAACAUUUAGAUUACACAAUCAUAGUCAACUUUAUCAGUAUAACUAACAAGGGAUGUAACCCUUUAAAUGGGACAAUGAAAUGCCCUCUUUAUAUUGUCUCCGAAAACCAUCUAUCUCUUUACAUAGAUUAUUCAU
rnacentral:lncRNA from 1 species